UUCCGGUUGAUCCUGCCGGAGGUCACUGCUAUUGGGGUCCGACUAAGCCAUGCGAGUCAAUAGUUCUUCGUGAACUAGGCGGACGGCUCAGUAACACGUGGGUAAUCUACCCUCAGGACAGGGAUAACCCCGGGAAACUGGGGAUAAUACCUGAUAGGUGGAGAGGUCUGGAAUGAUCCUCCGCCCAAAGCUCCGGCGCCUGAGGAUGAGCCUGCGGCCGAUUAAGUUGUUGGCGGUGUAACGGACCACCAAGCCUGAGAUCGGUACGGGCACUGAGAGGUGGAGCCCGGAGAUGGGGGCUGAGAAACGGCCCCAGGCCCUACGGGGCGCAGCAGGCGCGAAAACUCCGCAAUACGCGAAAGCGUGACGGGGGGACCCCAAGUGUCAUGCCUUCGGGUAUGACUUUUGCAGAGUGUAAACAGCUCUGCGAAUAAGAGCUGGGUAAGACCGGUGCCAGCCGUCGCGGUAACACCGGCAGCUCAAGUGGUGGCCACUAUUAUUGGGCCUAAAGCGU
rnacentral:rRNA from 1 species